AAUCUAAUUAUUGGGAAGAGGGGAAAACCACAGCAAGGAAAAUAUCAUGAAAAAUUUGGAGAAUAAAAAAUGCAUUCCAAAACUGUAUUUAAGUACUAACUUAAGAUUUUUUGAAAAAAGCCUUCAGAAGAGUUAAGCCUUCUGAAGAGUUACACAAGUACUUACAAUUACCCAUUACUUGCCCACUGAGUUGGCUUGUUCAAAUUUUAGACUUCUCCUCUCCUUAGACGCCCCUGAAAUUUAAUUCACCCCCAAACCGCAGUAAGUUCUAAAAUACAGAACAUCACCCACUGAAUGGUUCCUUGUGAGAACUGGCCCACCACAGAGGGGAAAGUGCUUGACUGUGUGAGUUGCUUUGGCCAAUGGAUAGUAGAAGAGUAGAUUGGAUUGUGCCCCCCACAAAGCUGUGUUUAAGUCUUAACCCUGGUGUCUGUGAAUGUGACCUUAUUUGAGAAGAGUGUCUUUUCAGAUAUGGUCAAGUUAAGAUAAGUUUCUAUGGAAUUUGUGAACCCUGAGUCAUGACUGGCAUCUUAUAAAGACUUGGAGACGCGCAGACACACACAGGGAAGAAGACACACAGAGGGAAGAAGGCCAUACACGUCAGAGACUGGACUGAGGCUAUUACAAGCCAAGGAUUGCUAGCAGCCACCAAAAGCUAGGAACUGGCAGGUAAGCAUCCUCCCCCAGAGCAUUCAGAGUGAGCAUGGCCCUGAUUUCAGACUUUUAGUCUCCGGAAUAAGGAGAGAAUACAUUUCUGGGAUUUUUUUUUUUAAGCCACCUAGUUGUGGUGAUUUGUUACAGCAGCCCUAGGAAACUGAUGCACGGAGUAAAGCAAGUUGUGGCUUGAAAUGUGCUACAGUAAUUGGGUUUGCCCUUUUGCUUUCUAAGAACAUUUUCUGGAUAGGCCACCAGUUAAAGGAUGAGGAUGGAACAGCACUGGACACAACCUGUAUACUGAAGCCAAGCACAGCUGAACUCAGCCUAAAUCUGCAGACCUCCAGAGGCAUGAAAGCUGAAAUCAGAGCAGUACUCACAGCUAAACUUCCUUGGAUGUAUUUGGCUAACAAUCAAGAUAGAGCGUGGCAGAUGGAUCCACUCUUUGGAGAGCAGCACUCACCCCGCCCUACCGGAAGUUGUCAUGCAAAGGAACUGUCUCUGACCACUCCUGGAGUUCAGCACCCCUGACGCGGACAGCGACACCACCCAAUUUAGUCCCAUGACUCGCUGCAGAGAUUUUCACCUGACAAAGGAACUGGCCAAUCCCGACUGGCACCAAGGACUGCGUGACUGCCUAAUUUACAAUGCGAGAUAUUGGGGAGGGGGGAGAACUCCUUGAUUUGGGACAUUUCAACUGGCAGGGGUACCAAAUGAUUUGAAAU
rnacentral:lncRNA from 9 species